CCUACGGGAGGCAGCAGUAAGGAAUAUUGGUCAAUGGACGAAAGUCUGAACCAGCCAUGCCGCGUGGAGGAUGAAUGCCCUCUGGGUUGUAAACUUCUUUUAUUUGGGACGAAACACUUCUUUUCUAAGGGGCUUGACGGUACCAGAUGAAUAAGCACCGGCUAACUCCGUGCCAGCAGCCGCGGUAAUACGGAGGGUGCAAGCGUUAUCUGGAUUCACUGGGUUUAAAGGGUGCGUAGGCGGACAUGUAAGUCUGUGGUGAAAUCUCUGAGCUUAACUCGGAAACUGCCGUGGAUACUAUAUGUCUUGAAUGUUGUGGAGGUUAGCGGAAUAUGUCAUGUAGCGGUGAAAUGCUUAGAUAUGACAUAGAACACCGAUUGCGAAGGCAGCUGGCUACACAACUAUUGACGCUGAGGCACGAAAGCGUGGGGAUCAAACAGGAUUAGAUACCCUGGUAGUCCACGCCCUAAACGAUGAUUACUCGACAUUUGCGAUAUACAGUAAGUGUCUGAGCGAAAGCAUUAAGUAAUCCACCUGGGAAGUACGACCGCAAGGUUGAAACUCAAAUGAAUUGAAUUGACGG
rnacentral:rRNA from 1 species